rnacentral:rRNA from 1 species
GGAUAACUUACCCUUUAGGACUGGGAUAACUCUGGGAAACUGGGGAUAAUACUGGAUAUUAGGCUAUGCCUGGAAUGGUUUGCCUUUGAAAUGUUUUUUUUCGCCUAAGGAUAGGUCUGCGGCUGAUUAGGUCGUUGGUGGGGUAUGGCCCACCAAGCCGAUGAUCGGUACGGGUUGUGAGAGCAAGGGCCCGGAGAUGGAACCUGAGACAAGGUUCCAGACCCUACGGGGUGCAGCAGGCGCGAAACCUCCGCAAUGUACGAAAGUGCGACGGGGGGAUCCCAAGUGUUAUGCUUUUUUGUAUGACUUUUCAUUAGUGUAAAAAGCUUUUAGAAUAAGAGCUGGGCAAGACCGGUGCCAGCCGCCGCGGUAACACCGGCAGCUCGAGUGGUAGCUGUUUUUAUUGGGCCUAAAGCGUUCGUAGCCGGUUUGAUAAGUCUUUGGUGAAAGCUUGUAGCUUAACUAUAAGAAUUGCUGGAGAUACUAUUAGACUUGAAGUCGGGAGAGGUUAGAGGUACUACCGGGGUAGGGGUGAAAUCCUAUAAUCCUGGGAGGACCACCUGUGGCGAAGGCGUCUAACUGGAACGAUCUUGACGGUGAGUAACGAAAGCCAGGGGCGCGAACCGGAUUAGAUACCCGGGUAGUCCUGGCCGUAAACGAUGUGGACUUGGUGUUGGAAUGGCUUUGAGUUGUUCCGGUGCCGAAGGGAAGCUGUUAAGUCCACCGCCUGGGAAGUACGGUCGCAAGACUGAAACUUAA